GUUCUCCCUAAAGGAAUACCCUUUCCGUCCAAUGUGAAAUGCUGUGGUGCUUUCUGAAAUUCUGUAGUGUUUUCGGAAAUGCUGUGGCGUUUUGUGAAAUGCUGUGUUGGCUUCGUGUAUAUCAU